UUUUACAUCCUGUGCUGGAUAAAAGUCACCCAUGUUCCUGGUGUAUACAAUGACUUACAAACAGGCUUCUGAAAACUUAUGUUCUCCAUGAAGAAUAACUCAUUAGAAAAAAGGAUUUUAUACCAGAGACUGUUACCUUUAAGAACAGAAUAAAACAAGCAGAUAGUUUGGGAGGACCCUUGAUCAUUGCUUUAUAAUAGCUUUUGGUGUUUACCCUUGAUGUCCCACACCCUUUUCAGGAAGCAUCACAUGUUCCUCUGUUGAGAAUCUAGGACCUUGUAAAUAACCAAAAAAGAUACUAUUGUUAAUGGAAAUGGUACAAUAUUUAUUGGACUAAAGUGUGGUCCACACAGGAAGAGAACUCCACAGAGCUACUGCGAUGAGCCAGCAACUCAUACUUCAACUGACCAACAACAGAAUCACAUCAUUUGCGCAGACCCGUUUGCUCAUGCUAGAUUUGACGAUAUUUACUGAGUUUGUGUAAAAGAUUUUAGGAGGGAGGUUCCUGAUAGAAGUACUGCCCAAGGAUUACAUCUUGAAGAUCCUCUAUGGCCCUCUACAUUGCAGUCAACACUAAGCUGGAGGUUUAAGGAAGUAACUCAACUGACCAACUGAAGACCAUUUUAAAGGGGGAACAAUGUGGGUCUGUCAAGAGUGGAAGAUGUCCACUGCAUACAUCAGCAGUUUUCUGCUGAAGGGAAGUUGAAGAUAUGGAGGAGAAACGCUUGAGUACUAACAGAAGAAACAAGAAAGUUCUUGCUGGUCUCUGGCCAAAGAUUUACUUGUCCCAUCUGCAAUCAAAGUGUCUUAUGUAGGAUUGGGAUGUACAAUCUUGAAAGGAUCCACAAAGGAAGGAGAAGAUGGUUUUCACUGGAAAUUGAUGUACAACCACAAGCAAGCAAUCUGGAUCUAAACUACCAUAUUUUACACGUUUCCUAAGAGGAUUGGAAAAGUUCUUGACCCCUGUAGGAAAAAAAUUAAAGAUGUUGGGCAUUCAUAAUUUGUGUGCUAAUAAGCCCAUCAUUUUGAUAUAAACCAGGCUGCAAAUUAUCAAACAUUUUAUGAAACAGAUGUAAAAUGCCGGGAUCAAUAUGCUUGGAAAUUUCAGCAGUCUCAGCUUCCAUAGCUACAUCAAAAGUGUCAUCCUUUUUAACCAGAAGUCAUUAUCACUGACAUUAGAAUCGUUGAUUAGAAUGUGAUUUGGAGGAAAAGCUCUGGCCUUUUAAUGUAAACAUUCAUUUAUCAAGAAA
rnacentral:lncRNA from 1 species